GGGCCCGCACAAGCGGAGGAGCAUGUGGUUUAAUUCGAUGAUACGCGAGGAACCUUACCAAGGCUUAAAUGUAAUAUGACCGGUUGAGAGAUCAACCUUUUUUCGAACAGAUUACAAGGUGCUGCAUGGUUGUCGUCAGCUCGUGCCGUGAGGUGUCGGGUUAAGUCCCAUAACGAGCGCAACCCCUAUUUUUAGUUACCAGCGAGUAAUGUCGGGAACUCUAGAAAAACUGCCUGUGCAAACAGAGAGGAAGGUGGGGAUGACGUCAAAUCAUCACGGCCCUUAUGUCUUGGGCUACACACGUGCUACAAUGGUUACUACAAUGUGAUGCCAUCUGGUGACAGAGAGCUAA
rnacentral:rRNA from 1 species